GCCUGGUGUGCAAGGUUCUUCUAGAGGUCUGGUGGUCCGACAUUCAUAACAAUGACAAAUCAACACAACAGAGAAAACAUGCACUAGCAGAAACUGUUCUGCCUUUACGGGGAUUUACAAACUUGGCUGAGUAGAAGAUGAGCAGAGAUACAACAAGUGGCUUAUACAGGUUUAUACCCCAUGGCUUUUGUGGAAAGUGCAGCCCGGCUUUGUUGAAGAACCAUAGAGGGGAUUUUCCCAUUUUCUUUCUUUAUGAUUGUUAUAUUUUCCGAGCAUAAGCAGAACAAUACUGUCAUUUGUUGGUGUUCUGUGAAGGAACGGUUGUGGUGUAAGUUCAGUACAGUAGGAUCAUGAAGAAGCAAAACCUGUAGUCUGUAGAAUCUACAAACCUUUUAGAAGGCCCCCAUAGGUCCAGUGGAAGUUGCCAAAUUGAUGAUGACGACAGCUGCAUCUUUGUGCCAUACCUGUUCUUUAGAUUUAGGGUCACAUGUAUGUUAAGAGAUGUGCAACUGAAUAGACAACCAUUGGAAUGUACAGAUAUGUCAGCAGAAGAUGCAAUUUUAUGAUUUGGUCCCGGAUGAAGCUUAGAGAUGGGACACAGAAACAACAAAGGAUGACAGACAAGACAGCAGAGGGAUAGAUGCAAGGAUUAUGAAGGCUGCUGGUCCUUGCUCCUGUGUCCUUAGCAGCUGUUCUUCCCUUGGGUCUACCCUUAGAUACUCAGAUACCCCCAGGAUCUGGUAACAUAUGAGGGGUGCCAGAAGUCCAGCAGUGUCAACAGAAGUCCACAAGGGCCAAGGUUGAGAAAAUAAGGGAGGACAGUAGUAGGAACAGACCAACGAACCAGGGUAAGCAAAACACAGUCCUUAAUAUAAGCAGAAGAACUUAGACGUGGACCAAAACUAACAGCAAUCCCAUACAGGGCAGGGCUGGACACACGUCACAGUGCUGGGAAUUAUGAGUGCGGACAACACAGUAUGUGACCAUCUCCACUCUUGCCCCCUAACUUGCCUUAUCUUAAUAAGGUUUUCCCUCCAGUCAUUUAAUAAUAAACACUCCUAAACAAUGCAAAACAUUUCAUAUUAUGUUCCUCCUGAAUCAAAGGAAAUCAUUGUAAUAUUAUGUUAAACUCCUCAAGUUGAAAGUAUGACAUAAAAAGAAUGCACAACUUAAUGUAAAAGAUCUGCUCUUACCCCAUCUCUAGUUCAUGACUUCUGCCCAACUUCAACAAGCCCAAGAAAUAUCUCCACAACAGCUCACUGUACUCUUCUGUCACACCCAAUCACGACAGGAGAAAGUAUGGGCUCUGAUACAGUUGAGUUAUUGUCCUCACCCAAGACUGUGCACUCAGCACCAUCAGAAGCCAAUGGGGGUGUGAUCGUACGGAUCAAUAAUGACUCAUUUAAUGGUCAGCUGAUGGAAUACUACCAUAAUAAGUAUGGAAAAUAUGGUGACCCCAGUUUAAAAAGGAUCAUCAGACAUUUAUUCCC